ACACGUAGGGGCCUGACGUUGUUCGGAAUCAUUGGGCGUAAAGGGCGCGCAGGCGGCCGUCCAAGUCCGGUGUUAAAUGGUCGGGCUCAACCCGAUCCUGCGCUGGAAACUGGGCGGCUUGAGUCCCGUAGGGGAUGCCGGAAUUCCAGGUGUAGGGGUGAAAUCUGUAGAUAUCUGGAAGAACACCGAUGGCGAAGGCAGGCAUCUGGCCGGAGACUGACGCUGAGGCGCGAAGGCGCGGGGAGCGAACAGGUUUAGAUACCCUGGUAGUCCGCGCAGUAAACGAUGCGCACCAGGUGUCGGGCGGCAGCGCCCGGUACCGGAGCUAACGCGAUGAGUGCGCCGCCUGGGG
rnacentral:rRNA from 1 species